CUAAAUCUGCGCUCAUGUGAACUCAAAUAGUCUCUUUUGGUGGGAAGAACUGUAGGUGUUCCUCUCAGAUUCCUCUAAACUCUAGUGUCUACAAGCACAUUCACAGCAUUUAUAUGGUGAUUGCAGCUUGGCAAACAUGAGGACAAUACUCAGUAUUCUUCCUGAGACCAUGUGCUCUCCACAUGUGACAUCAUGCCCACAAAACACAAAAAGACUUAAUUCAGAAAGCUUGUUGUCCAACUUAACUGUUUCACUUAACUGAAUUGCUCAAAUUUAACAGACCAUCUACAAGUGUAAGAGCCAGCCCAACAGAAACACGGUCACCCUCUCUGAGGGUGGUCAACAAAGGGUCAGAUGUGUUACAAAGGAGUAUGGCACUGGAUCAAGAAGCAGAUGUUCUCAAGGAACACACAUACUGAAAUACUGCCACAGCUCCAGCGGGUUGGGACUGCAGAAGACGAGAGAAUUGGAUUUCAACGCCAGCGUCUGCAGACAGGCAGGGACAGGUGCUGCAUGCGGAGAAAGGAGGAGCAAAGCAAAGCGGAAACACGCCACACUGCUUCAUAGGAGGAUUUCUGAAACAGCUGCCCAGCAGACGUCCUGCCUGUAAGAACUAAACCCUCAAGGGCAGAGAAAGAGAGAGAGUGAGAAGACGAAAACGGCAACACGCUGCACCACCCAGGAGCUGACUAACAGUUUAGGUCAAGGCACCUCCGGGACGGCAACCACAGACUGGAGAAAACAGGGACAUUAUUCUGCAAAGACACAGGAGCAGGUAAAACUAGAUACUGAUGAUUUUUGACAGGUAUAUGUGCAUGAUAACAAAUGAUUAUUUAAAUGAUAUGCAAAUAGUGUAUUUUCUUAAGGGUAUGUUUCUUGAGUACAAGCUCUUAAAAUAAAGGUUAUUUUUUAGCAUCUAUAGUUCCAUGAAGAACCUUUGACAUCAACGGAAUCUUUCCAUUCCACAAAAAUUCUUUAUUAACUCAUUCCCAUAAAAGAACCAUUUUGGGUUCCUCAAAGAACCUUUCAAAGAGUAGUUCUUAAAACAACUGUUUUAUUCUUAGUGUGAAUAACAUUUUAGUAAUCUAAAGAAGCUUAUAGGAUAUAAACAACCUUUUGUCCACUGGAAAUGUUUCAUUGAUGUUAAAAGGAACCGUGGAACCGUCAAUGCCAAUAAAAAACCUUUAUUUUUAAGAGUUGUAGUGGAAAACAUUUCAUUAGAUUUUUUUAAAAUGUGUUUCACUUAAUGAAAAAAAAAAAAAAAGGUUAUUUGUAUAACUGUUCGCUGAAAGGUUCUUUAGAGAACCAAAAGUUGUUCUUCUAAUCUAUGGCAUUGCUGCAAAAUCUCCGUUAAAAAUUUUAUUUUUAAGAGUGUAGAUGACAUAAGAUCAAAAAAUUGUUGUAUUCAUGAACCAUGUGGCUGUUAUUUGCUGGUUAGGCUUAUGAAAGCUCUUUUCACUCAUGCACAUGGCUGUCAUUAUGACAUUUGAGAUUUUGUGCUGCAGAAUUUGUUAAGCAAAUUCCAACACACCAUAAAACAAGGGCUGAGAAUCUCAAAGCAACCUGACACCUGGUUCCUCUCUGUUCUUCAAGCACAUGCUCAACUGUUUGACCAGAAAAGAUCUUCUGAAAUUCCUCAGAUACAUUCCUCUGUCCAGCAGAACCUGGAAAGUCAACUCGACUCUCGCAGAAAGCCAAAGACAACAGCAGCUUGAGAACAGAAUCCUUGGAGGUGGAUAUCAGGGUGUAAAAAUCACGAUGUUGAGGUGAAAGAGACCUCGCUCCACCCAGGUUCCUCCAAAUGCAGCAGCCAUCCUAAAGUGUAAUUAAGGGUUGCUUUAUGUAACACACUGGAAACCUCAAAUUGGGCCGACUGUGGUAUUUGUCUUUAAUCAUUUUGAAUAUUGUCUAACAGGGUUGUUUGUGGUCAGAGGAAUUUGAAAGAUUGAAAGCUUAGACAUAAAACACCCAAGAGAGGAGGAAAAACCCGAAUCACCCAAGAGAGAAGAGCUUGACCUCGG
ensembl:lncRNA